GGGGCCUGAGGGAGACUACGGGUUUGCUAAAAUGGCGACGGCGGUGGCUGAGUUGAAGCCCUAACAGAGGCUAAGGUUUAUAAGUUUUUUUUUUGGUUGUAAAUAUGGCAGGAAUUGUUUUUUUUUAAAUGUUAGUUUUAUAAUUAAUUUGAAACGGCGCCGUUUUAUGGGGGGAUCCGCGCGUCGACCCGUUCCGACCCGCAGGAUCCACGCGUUUCUUUAAAUUGGACCAUUUGCGCAAUUGAUCCCCCUGUUUUACAAUGUUUAUAAAUUACUUUUUU
rnacentral:lncRNA from 1 species